UCUCAGGCUUGUGUAUGAGUUUUUGAUAUCAUUCUGCACUUUAUCAGAUCAGAUGCUAAUCAAAUUCUAGCCCCAAGUUUAGGCUUAAUUUUUUUUUUUUAAUCUCAAGGUGUUCUUGAUUCAAUCAGGCACACCCUUGAUUCCCCUGUCCUGGAGCUCUGCCCCUAGUUUUUGGUAAAGAGAUCCUGGGGAAACUCCCCCUGAGAACUGGGUCCUCAUUUCAAACCCAGCCUGGGAUUCCUGGUUUUACUCUGGACACUGGAGGAUCAGUCCACUUCAGCACAGAUUGCUCUUGACUGGCACUCCAGACUUCUCCACAGUUACAUAUAGAAAUAAUUUUUGAGAGUUGAACUUGGAGUUGAACUGGAAGAUCAGUCACUUGGACUUGGAGAGAAGAACAGUCACUUGGAGCUAGAGGGAAGACAGACACUCGAGGAGAGACUGGAACACAGGCACUCAGACUUGUAGUGAAGACACUUGGCUGUGGAACUGGACCCCUGGAGGAGCUCUUGCAGGAGACCUCAGACCGCUUUCCUUUUAGAUGUGGAAGUGAGAUCGAAAAAGGAGCACAGACUUCAUCUAUAUAGUGCUAUAGAAGCACGGACUUCACCUGAAUAGUGCCAAAAAAAGAGCACACAGAAAAAAAGAAAAGAAACCAAUCAAGGUGGGAUUGAUGAACUUCUACGCCAAUAUGAAAGGACUUGAACCUAGUGUGAGACUCAGGGUUGCAGCAUGUUAAGAUGCAGGGCUCCUUGAAACACACUCCUUGUAAAAUAAUUUCUAUCAAAGUACCUAAAAAUUGGCUGUUCUGGCUCCCCUAUUCGUGAGAGAUAAUGAAAGAUCAUACAAGGGAAUGACACUUUCCUUUUACACAAAAAUCUAGUCCUUUUUUCUCUCUGAAAGUAUAGAAACUUCCUACAGGACUUAUAAUGUGCAAAUACAGUAUUAUUGCAUUUUUUCCCUACACAUUUGUGGGAUAGAAAUUGACUUUAAUUGGACCCUAAUACAAGAACCUGUUAUGAAUUUAUUCUUGUUUUAUUCAGAACUUUUGUAUACAUAGACUUUUGAUAUUUUGAAUCUGAAUUAAAUUUUUUUUAUUUCUACCAAA
rnacentral:lncRNA from 1 species